GGAAAUUAGCUUCGGUUAAUUUUAGUGGCGGACGGGUGAGUAACACGUGAGAAUUCGCCUUUAGGAGGGGGAUAACGGAUGGAAACAUUCGCUAAAACCCCAUAUGCCCCUGGGUGAAACAGAGGAGAUAAGUAAUACUGAUUCACCUCUGCCUGAAGAGAAGCUCGCGGCUGAUUAGCUAGUUGGUAGGGUAAAGGCCUACCAAGGCGACGAUCAGUAGCUGGUCUGAGAGGACGAUCAGCCACACUGGAACUGAGACACGGUCCAGACUCCUACGGGAGGCAGCAGUGAGGAAUUUUCUGCAAUGGGCGAAAGCCUGACAGAGCAAUACCGCGUGAGGGAUGAAGACUUACUGAGUUGUAAACCUCGGUACCUUAAGGAAGAAGAUCUGACGGUACUUAAGGUGGAAAGCAUCGGCUAACUCCGUGCCAGCAGCCGCGGUAAGACGGGGGAUGCAAGUGUUAUCCGGAUUUACUGGGCGUAAAGCGUCUGCAGGUGGUUUCUUAAGUCUACUGUUAAAUCUUGAGGCUCAACCUCAAAUCUGCAGUAGAAACUAGGAGACUUGAGUAUAGUAGGGGUAGAGGGAAUUUCCAGUGGAGCGGUGAAAUGCGUAGAUAUUGGAAAGAACACCGAUGGCGAAGGCACUCUACUGGGCUAUUACUGACACUCAGAGACGAAAGCUAGGGGAGCAAAUGGGAUUAGAUACCCCAGUAGUCCUAGCCGUAAACGAUGGAUACUCGAUGUUGGACGUAUCGACCCGAGCCGUGCCGAA
rnacentral:rRNA from 1 species